GGAAAAUGUUAUGAAAACUUAUACAGCGAAAACAGUGGACAAGUUUGCCAGCUGACUAUUUUUUACAUAUUGGUGGACAUCCUAUGAAAACAGCUGCAGUGAAAAACAGUAGACAAAUUUGCCAGCUCAGUACGGUUUUAACAAAUUGGAGGAAAAUGUUAUGAAAACUUAUACAGCGAAAACAGUGGACAAGUUUGCCAGCUGACUAUUUUUUACAUAUUGGUGGAAAUCCUAUGAAAACAGCUGCAGUGAAAUACAGUCGAAAAAUUUGCCAGCUCAGUACGGUUUUAACAAAUUGUAACUACCAGUAAAGAUGUCUGACCAGAGCACU